CCGGGUGCCUAUGGCCUUGAGGCCCCACUCCGAUCCCUUCCCGAACUCGGUUGUGAAACUCAAGUACGGCCACGAUACUUGGAGGGUUGCCUCCUGGGACAAUAGCUCGCUGCCCGGU
rnacentral:rRNA from 2 species